UAUCAUGGACAUGCUAACAUUUUUAAAUUGAUUUAUUUAGGAAUCUGCAGAAUAGAAACACGAAAACAUUUCAACCACAUUUUUUGAUAGAAAAAUAAAAACAGAUAGUAAGAAAAUAAGACAUUAUGAGAUUUUUGAUACAAAAUACUGGAUAGAAUCGAAAAUUAUUAAAAACGAGAUCUUAUCAUUACUUUUAUUCUUGUCUAGUCCAGUUCAGUUGACCUCACUGGAAUCGGGUUUCAGUUUUCUUGUAGUAAAUGCAGUCGUUGUUUCUUGCUAGUGAUGCUGGGGAUCUGGUCCAUCUGGUACAGUUUUGUUUGUACCCACCAUUACCCUCCUACUUGUCUUCUUCAUCUUUGAUAAGUAUUGAAACCCUAAUUCCUGUAAAAUUUUCCUGCUGUCUAGUCUUGUCUGCAUAUUUAGUACCCCUCUAUAACUCGAUGCUGCUGCUAAAUUAACGUUAACAUGAGAAAAUAAAAUCAAUAAAAAUAAUACUGCAAUUCUUACACUUGAUAAAUUGGCCAUUUCGAUUCUUUGGAAUGUGAACUAAUGACGAAGUAGUUUGGGCUAGGGAGCAGAGAUAUUAUGCAGUAUGAUGAAGUAAAUAUCAAGUAACAUCAAGUCAAAUAUAUAACAGAAAUUGUACGGAAAAAGUCCAAAAAAAUGAAUUAUUUAUUAACUAUUUUUCGCCAAAAAUAUUUCUUGCCUGGAUCUGUAAAAUGGAGUUGCUU
rnacentral:lncRNA from 1 species